UACGAAGGGGGCUAGCGUUGCUCGGAAUUACUGGGCGUAAAGCGCACGUAGGCGGGUUCUUAAGUCGGUGGUGAAAUCCUGGAGCUCAACUCCAGAACUGCCUUCGAUACUGGGAAUCUUGAGUCCGGGAGAGGUGAGUGGAACUGCGAGUGUAGAGGUGAAAUUCGUAGAUAUUCGCAAGAACACCAGUGGCGAAGGCGGCUUACUGGUCCGGUUCUGACGCUGAGGCGCGAAAGCGUGGGGAGCAAACAGG
rnacentral:rRNA from 1 species